rnacentral:rRNA from 1 species
AACGAAAACGCUGGCGGCAGGCCUAACACAUGCAAGUCGAACGAGAAGCUGACUUCGGUCAGUGGAGAGUGGCGCACGAGUGAGUAACGCGUGGGAAUUUGCCUCUUGGUACGGGAUAACGUUUGGAAACGAACGCUAAUACCGUAUGUGAUCUACGGAUUAAAGAUUUAUCGCCAAGAGAGAAGCCCGCGUAGGAUUAGGUAGUUGGUGGGGUAAUGGCCCACCAAGCCAACGAUCUUUAGCUGGUCUGAGAGGACGAUCAGCCACACUGGAACUGAGACACGGUCCAGACUCCUACGGGAGGCAGCAGUGGGGAAUAUUGGACAAUGGGGGCAACCCUGAUCCAGCCAUGCCGCGUGAGUGAAGAAGGCCUUAGGGUUGUAAAGCUCUUUCGCUAGGGAAGAUAAUGACGGUACCUAGUAAAGAAGUCCCGGCUAACUCCGUGCCAGCAGCCGCGGUAAUACGGAGGGGACUAGCGUUGUUCGGAAUUACUGGGCGUAAAGAGUACGUAGGCGGCUAUGCAAGUUGGGUGUGAAAGCCCGGGGCUCAACCCCGGAACUGCACUCAAAACUGUGUAGCUAGAGAUCGGAAGAGGUAAGUGGAAUUCCCAGUGUAGAGGUGAAAUUCGUAGAUAUUGGGAAGAACACCAGUGGCGAAGGCGGCUUACUGGUCCGAGACUGACGCUGAGGUACGAAAGCGUGGGGAGCAAACAGGAUUAGAUACCCUGGUAGUCCACCGCCGUAAACGAUGAAUGCUAGUUGUUGGGAGGUUUACCUUUUCAGUGACGCAGCUAACGCAUUAAGCAUUCCGCCUGGGGAGUACGGUCGCAAGAUAAAACUCAAAGAAUUGACGG